AUUGGGCGUAAGCGCGCGCAGGUGGUUUCUUAAGUCUGAUGUGAAAGCCCACGGCUCAACCGUGGAGGGUCAUUGGAAACUGGGAGACUUGAGUGCACAAGAGGAAAGUGGAAUUCCAUGUGUAGCGGUGAAAUGCGUAAAGAUAUGGAGGAACCCCCGUGGCGAACGCUAUUUUCUGGUCUGUAACUGACACUGAGGCGCGAAAGCGUGGGGAACAAA
rnacentral:rRNA from 1 species